rnacentral:rRNA from 1 species
ACGUAGGGCGCAAGCGUUGUCCGGAAUUAUUGGGCGUAAAGAGCUCGUAGGCGGCUUGUCACGUCGAUUGUGAAAGCCCGAGGCUUAACCUCGGGUCUGCAGUCGAUACGGGCUAGCUAGAGUGUGGUAGGGGAGAUCGGAAUUCCUGGUGUAGCGGUGAAAUGCGCAGAUAUCAGGAGGAACACCGGUGGCGAAGGCGGAUCUCUGGGCCAUUACUGACGCUCAUGUGCGAAAGCGUGGGGAGCAAACAGGA